rnacentral:rRNA from 1 species
UAAACAUCGAUGGCCACAACACCCCUGCCAUCCGCCCGGGAACUACGAGCAUCAGCUUAAAACCCAAAGGACUUGGCGGUGCUUAAGAUCCACCUAGAGGAGCCUGUUCUAGAACCGAUAAUCCCCGUUCAACCUCACCCCUUCUUGCCCAUUCCGUCUAUAUACCGCCGUCGUCAGCUUACCCUUUGAGGGUAAAACAGUAAGCAAAAUUGGCAAAGCCCAAAACGUCAGGUCGAGGUGUAGCGUAUGAAGGGGGAAGCUUAUGGGCUACAUUCACUAUCAUAGUGAAAUACGGACGAUGAUGCUGAAACGCACAUCCAAAGGAGGAUUUAGCAGUAAGUGAGAAUCAGAGCGUCCCACUGAAACUGGCCCUAAAGCGCGCACACACCGCCCGUCACUCUCCCCGGGCUAAAAUUUACAUAUAUUUAAUACCCAGCACCUGCACAAGGGGAGGCAAGUCGUAACAUGGUAAGUGUACCGGAAGGUGCACUUGGAACAAC